rnacentral:rRNA from 1 species
GACAUUAUGUUGUACCAUUUAUUCGCUAAUGGUUAAGUUAGAAAGGGCGCACGGUGAAUGCCUUGGCACUAGGAGCCGAUGAAGGACGGGACUAACACCGAUAUGCUUCGGGGAGCUGUAAGUGAGCUUUGAUCCGGAGAUUUCCGAAUGGGGAAACCCACUGUUCGUAAUGGAACAGUAUCUUUAUCUGAAUACAUAGGAUAUUGAAGGCAGACCCGGGGAACUGAAACAUCUAAGUACCCGGAGGAAGAGAAAGCAAAUGCGAUUUCCUGAGUAGCGGCGAGCGAAACGGAAUUAGCCCAAACCAAGAGGCUUGCCUCUUGGGGUUGUAGGACACUCUAUACGGAGUUACAAAGGAACGAAGUAAAUGAAGCGACCUGGAAAGGUCCGUCGAAGAAGGUAACAACCCUGUAGUUGAAACUUCGUUCCCUCUUGAGUGGAUCCUGAGUACGGCGGAACACGUGAAAUUCCGUCGGAAGCUGGGAGGACCAUCUCCCAAGGCUAAAUACUACCUAGUGACCGAUAGUGAACCAGUACCGUGAGGGAAAGGUGAAAAGCACCCCGGAAGGGGAGUGAAAGAGAUCCUGAAACCGUGUGCCUACAAGUAGUCAGAGCCCGUUAACGGGUGAUGGCGUGCCUUUUGUAGAAUGAACCGGCGAGUUACGAUCCCAUGCAAGGUUAAGCUGAUAAGGCGGAGCCGUAGCGAAAGCGAGUCUGAAUAGGGCGUUUAGUAUGUGGUUGUAGACCCGAAACCAGGUGAUCUACCCAUGUCCAGGGUGAAGUUCAGGUAACACUGAAUGGAGGCCCGAACCCACGCACGUUGAAAAGUGCGGGGAUGAGGUGUGGGUAGCGGAGAAAUUCCAAUCGAACCUGGAGAUAGCUGGUUCUCUCCGAAAUAGCUUUAGGGCUAGCCUCAUGUUGUGAGAGUCUUGGAGGUAGAGCACUGAUUGGACUAGGGGCCCCCAACGGGUUACCGAAUUCAGUCAAACUCCGAAUGCCAAAGACUUAUCCAUGGGAGUCAGACUGCGAGUGAUAAGAUCCGUAGUCAAAAGGGAAACAGCCCAGACCACCAGCUAAGGUCCCCAAGUAUACGUUAAGUGGAAAAGGAUGUGGAGUUGCUUAGACAACCAGGAUGUUGGCUUAGAAGCAGCCACCAUUUAAAGAGUGCGUAAUAGCUCACUGGUCGAGUGACUCUGCGCCGAAAAUGUACCGGGGCUAAACGUAUCACCGAAGCUGUGGAUUGACAUCUUAGAUGUCAGUGGUAGGAGAGCGUUCUAAGUGCAGCGAAGUCAGACCGUAAGGACUGGUGGAGCGCUUAGAAGUGAGAAUGCCGGUAUGAGUAGCGAAAGACAAGUGAGAAUCUUGUCCACCGAAUGCCUAAGGUUUCCUGAGGAAGGCUCGUCCGCUCAGGGUUAGUCGGGACCUAAGCCGAGGCUGAAAAGCGUAGGCGAUGGCCAACAGGUUGAUAUUCCUGUACCACCUCCCCGCCGUUUGAGUAAUGGGGGGACGCAGUAGGAUAGGGUAAGCGCGCUGCUGGAUAUGCGCGUUCAAGCAGUUAGGCUGAUGAGUAGGCAAAUCCGCUCAUCAUAAAGGCUGAGCUGUGAUGACGAGGGAAUUAUAGUACCGAAGUUCCUGAUUCCACACUGCCAAGAAAAGCCUCUAGCGAGGCGGGAGGUGCCCGUACCGCAAACCGACACAGGUAGGCGAGGAGAGAAUCCUAAGGUGAUCGAGAGAACUCUCGUUAAGGAACUCGGCAAAAUGACCCCGUAACUUCGGGAGAAGGGGUGCUCUGGUAGGGUGUAUAGCCCGAGAGAGCCGCAGUGAAUAGGCCCAGGCGACUGUUUAGCAAAAACACAGGUCUCUGCGAAGCCGCAAGGCGAAGUAUAGGGGCUGACGCCUGCCCGGUGCUGGAAGGUUAAGAGGAGGGGUUAUCCUUUGGGAGAAGCUCUGAAUCGAAGCCCCAGUAAACGGCGGCCGUAACUAUAACGGUCCUAAGGUAGCGAAAUUCCUUGUCGGGUAAGUUCCGACCCGCACGAAAGGCGUAACGAUCUGGGCACUGUCUCAACGAGAGACUCGGUGAAAUUAUAGUACCUGUGAAGAUGCAGGUUACCCGCGACAGGACGGAAAGACCCCGUGGAGCUUUACUGUAGCCUGAUAUUGAAUUUUGGUACAGCUUGUACAGGAUAGGUAGGAGCCUGAGAAGCCGGAGCGCUAGCUUCGGUGGAGGCGUCGGUGGGAUACUACCCUGGCUGUAUUGAAAUUCUAACCCGCGGCCCUGAUCGGGCCGGGAGACAGUGUCAGGUGGGCAGUUUGACUGGGGCGGUCGCCUCCUAAAAUGUAACGGAGGCGCCCAAAGGUUCCCUCAGAAUGGUUGGAAAUCAUUCGUAGAGUGUAAAGGCACAAGGGAGCUUGACUGCGAGACCUACAAGUCGAGCAGGGACGAAAGUCGGGCUUAGUGAUCCGGUGGUUCCGCAUGGAAGGGCCAUCGCUCAACGGAUAAAAGCUACCCCGGGGAUAACAGGCUUAUCUCCCCCAAGAGUCCACAUCGACGGGGAGGUUUGGCACCUCGAUGUCGGCUCAUCGCAUCCUGGGGCUGUAGUCGGUCCCAAGGGUUGGGCUGUUCGCCCAUUAAAGCGGUACGCGAGCUGGGUUCAGAACGUCGUGAGACAGUUCGGUCCCUAUCCGUCGUGGGCGUAGGAAAUUUGAGAGGAGCUGUCCUUAGUACGAGAGGACCGGGAUGGACACACCGCUGGUGUACCAGUUGUCUUGCCAAAGGCAUCGCUGGGUAGCUAUGUGUGGACGGGAUAAGUGCUGAAAGCAUCUAAGCAUGAAGCCCCCCUCAAGAUGAGAUUUCCCAUAGCGCAAGCUAGUAAGAUCCCUGAAAGAUGAUCAGGUUGAUAGGUCAGAGGUGGAAGCGUGGCGACAUGUGUAGCUGACUGAUACUAAUCGAUCGAGGACUUAACCAA